UGUAUACCUCCCUCGGAACAUGACAGAUUAAUUGGUGAUUUUCCGCAGAGAGAUAAUAUUGUUCCAUUCAAUUCAAUAAUCGCACCGAACUUUUAAACUCACCAAGACAGUGAGAUGAACAGAUUAAUCCGCAGUUGUCCAUUCGGUACCGCACACGACCCCCCCUCUCCGUGCAUAAGGAAUAGCCGGCAAGAUUCGCGCGUGUCCGUGCACGCCCGUGGGUGACGAGAGCCGAGGUCCUGGCUGCUGUGGGUCUGUUUCCGGGACAGGUCGAGGUCGAACUGGUCUAAAGACAGCAGAAGGCACCCGUGUGUCUAAGCCACAGGUCUGUCGGCCUUGGCAUUCGUCAAGGUGUCCUUGGGGAGCCGGUGGAGCUCCCUAUCCGGGCGAGUUCACCCUCUGAGAGGAAGGUCGCCCUUUCUUCUCCGCCAGAUAGGAGCGCCACGGCCCCUCGGCACCCCGAGCUCAGAGCCCGGAGGAGAGUGAACGUGGGAAGUGUGGGACAGGGGAAGCCGACGGCAAUGAGCUAGAGGCCGGCCGGCCGGGCAGCUCAUCACACUGAACGAACAGAUUUGUACUGUACUUGUGCGGAUUCCUGUGGGAAGAUUGGAAAAGGAUAUCUACUACUGCCUAAAACUGUCAAAGGAAAUGCUUCAGGGCACACAUGUGCUCAAACCAGGCAGGAUGAACGCUCCAGACUCGCCCUCUGAGGAUCACAGCAGAUCUGGCUGCUUCAAAUCCACUUCCACUGAAUAGAAAAAGACACCAACAGCCUUGGCGACAGUAAUUAUAAAAGAUGUGACUGGCUGCAGAGGUAACAAAUGAAUUCAGACGGAGACGGUUGCCGUAGAACAGGAUUUCGUUUCCACUGAGCCUCGGAAAAGUCCUUGAGCUGGAAAACAAAAGGGAAUUGCAAGUCAAUAUUUCUGCAGAGGCGCAAGGUUGCGAGCUAAUCAGGGAAUCACGCGAGUCUGGAGCGAGUGUGAAGCGAAUGAGGAUUAAGAGGAGGCGUGUGCUACAGUACAUGCCGUUUGUCUAAUGAGGUAGCCACCACACCUCCAUACAUACAUGGUUCUGGGCACAAGGUCUGGAUUGCAGGAGUGGGUAGCUGUUUUUGGAAAACCUCCCAUUAACAAAUCAAUCAGAACUGAUAGGCUUGACUUGUGAAGGUCUGUAUUAUCGUCCACAGCCCCAGGCCUGAGUCGCCGCCCCUACGCCAGGCUGCAAGCUUACAUUUAUUUCUUCCCACUUUCUUGUGUUGCCUGCAUGCUCUCGCACAGCACUGGGACUUCACUGAAAAGCACUGGAAUGCCAUCAUCAUUACCCGUUUCAGCCAAGAGGACUUUAUUCAUUUAAUUAUUCCACGCGUUUUUAUAACCGGUCUCAUCCCAGUGGAUCCUGUCGAAGAAAAGUCUUCACUCAGGUUAGGUGUGGUCAAGCCGAGUCCUUUAUUCAUGUGCAUGAGGAGGAUAGAUCAUGCAGAUCUGAGAGCAAUCUCUCAUACAGAUCUACAAAAUCCAACUCUCUGAGAUGAUAAAUGCAAUGAGUUUUAUACAGCAGACUCACACAGGAAAGCUCACUCUAAGUUUCCAUAUUAGGGGUUGUUUUUCUCUCUACAAACAUUUCUUUGUAACUGACCACGUUCUUCUUAAGAAGCAGUUCUACCUUGUAUACAGACAAAAGGAAGUAUAAAAAUAAAAGGUGUGAAAUGAGAUAGACAUUCUGCGGUUUGUAAUAACAAUGUCAAAAGGUCAAAUAAUAUGCUUGAAUUAUCCUUUUAUACUGUUGCUAAGCAAAAGGCAUAUGAGCUAAUA